GGAGGAAGGCAGCAUGUACCACAUAUGGUGGACGUGUAACCAAAUACAACCAUACUGGAGAGAAGUAGGAGACAUUAUUCGAUACACACUUGACACACAGGCGCCCCUCCAGCCAGAAUGUGGUCUGUUGUUUAUGACUUUAGAGACAUACAACAGGCCACAAGCGAUACUACUCUUCCAUAUCCUAAUAGCCGCAAACACACUGAUUGCAAGGGCCUGGAAACAAACCGCGAGACCGGAAAAAGCAGCAUUACUGACCCAAAUCUCUACCAAUUUAAUGUACGAAACCAAACUAAACGCCAAAUUUGGAGCAUCUGCUCACGCAAAACAAGCCAGAGACAGAUGGGAAGAGGUGACGAGAAC